rfam:Asian citrus Psyllid, Diaphorina citri - Florida Strain, whole genome shotgun sequence.
GCCUAGUUAGCUCAGUUGGUAGUGUGACUGCCUUGUAAGCACUAGGCCGCGGGUUCGAUUCCCGUUCGGGGCG